CAGACAGCAAGCCAACAUUGAAUAAACAUUGUUUUUCCAUCUGAAUCAUCAUUAUGGUUGAUAUUGAAAUUUCAAUGCAAAAUAAAUGUUGAAUCACCAUUAUCAUAUCGAUGAAAACCUGAUGUUAUUAAUGUUGAUGGCAACAAUAUUGGAACAACAUUGAUCCAUAGUUAUCUUUAUGAUUGAUUAAGCAUUGAUAUUUGGUUACCGGGUGAUCCCUGAAUGUGUUGAAAAGUAAUUGAUUUAUAGUGGACAGAGGAACGAUGGGGUUGUUGAAAAGUCAUCGAAAUAUAGUUGACCGGGAAAUAUGAUAGAAAGUGCAUCGAAAUAUAGUUGACCGGGAAAUAUGAUAGAAAGUGCAUCGAAAUAUAGUUGACCAGGAAAUAUGAUAGAAAAUGCGUCGAAAUAUAGUUGACCGGGAAAUAUGAUUGAAAAUCCAUCGAUUUUUGGUUGACCGGGAGAUCAACGGGUGGUAUACCCAACGUACUGCACCGGACACAGCUCAUUUCUGGACCCUUGGCACAAGCGUACAGGUAAGCUUGCUUAAUGUUCGAUAUGAACCAGACAGCACAGGCACGCGGUGUGUUUUUAUACAGUCUGUGGGCAGCUGAAGAGACUGGCUCAUUUUCAAAUAAUGUUACCGUUAACUUGUUUAGACAACGGUCACGGUAAAUUAAUGUUAAAGCCUUUCGUGUCCAGCAGUUUCUCGGAGGGAAAAUGUAAAAGCGGUUUAUUAAAGAGAAGUCCUGACUCCUUUAUCGUCGUGUUUUUCACUCUUUUACAGGCUGCCAGAAAGAAUCCGUCUCUAUAGUGAGUGAUUAUUGAAUGAGGCUGUACAUUAUAAAUGUAAUGUUUUAACUCGAGAUGUUUGUUUGUGUGAAUGCUGUGUGUGCGGUGAGUUCUGCGCGAGCGGGGAGCAGAGUUGCCAUGGAAACGGGGCAUCAACACAAAAACCGUUACUGGCAAGCAGUAACGUUAAUCUCCGUCUCUCGCUGCGGUUUACGCUGUUUUAGAAAUGGUUUAGUGUCUUCGAAAAAGUCUGUUAGCAUCUAUCUUAGCAGUUUUCAGGUAAGUUAAUGUUAGGCUAAUUUUGAGCUCUUGUUGAUGAAACUCUGGGCUUUUCAUCAAAUCGUCGUGUGUGUGAGAUAUUUUGAUGGCUCUGUGAAUGUUUUGCUGGUGAUUUGUCAGUGUUUUUUUUUUUUUUAUAGAAAAGGCUGAUUUACUGAAUCGAUGACGUUACUUACACUGAGCGUGUAACGUUAAUCGGCUGAAAACAAGUUCACAUGAGUUUUGAUAUUUCAUGAUAAACAGAUAUUAAUACAAAUUGUUCUGUGAUUUCAGGAGGACAGAAAGAAACUAUACAGAACAAAGUGAAACUCCAAGAUUUUUGAAAAGAAAAUUGGUGAAAUAUAUUCUGAAAAAGGCAUAUUAAUGUAUUUCAUGAGCUUCUUCAGUAAAUCUGUAUUUCUAAGUCAGUAUCUCCCUUCAGAAAUGUGGCUGAAGGGAGAUACUGACUUAGAAAUACAGCUGAACUCAUGAAAAGAAGCUCAUGAAACACAUUAAUAUGCCUUUUUCAGAAUAUAUUUCACCAAAUUUAAGAAGUCCCUGACAUCAAAACAUGGCUUGUUUUGUUCCUGGACUCUUCAGUGAUGAUGAGCAGAGUCUGAGUGAACCUGCUGUCAGACAAUGACUAUUGCACACCAAAUGCUCUUACUCAGCAGAUGGGGACAGCUACCAUCACCCAAUUUUCACCCAAAAGUGGCUGCGCUAUUCGCCAGACCGGGCAGGAGGGACUGGACGACAACUUAUGCAGGCAUCAGAUGACAAUGAAGUGUAAAUAAAGAGUAGAGGCUAAUAAACAGGAAUUUGAUUUUAAA